AUUGAAUCACAGGUUCUCAUAUGAUCACUGAAGUAAAACAACUUAAAGCCUGGUCAGUUUCUAGAUGGGUGACCACUUGGGAGUACCAAGUGCUGUAUG